CACGUAGGAUGCAAGCGUUAUCCGGAAUUAUUGGGCGUAAAGCGUCCGCAGGUGGUUAUCCAAGUCUGCUGUUAAAGCGCGAGGCUUAACUUCGUACAGGCAGUGGAAACUGGGUGACUGGAGUAUGGUAGGGGUAGCGGGAAUUCCCAGUGUAGCGGUGAAAUGCGUAGAUAUUAGGAAGAACACCAGCGGCGAAAGCGCGCUACUGGGCCAUUACUGACACUCAUGGACGAAAGCUAGGGGAGCGAAAGGG
rnacentral:rRNA from 1 species